CCCUAAAUCCCAAAAUCCAUGGCUCACGCCACGCCUCCCUCUCCCGUUCGCGAGACCGACGGCACCUCCCUCUCCCGAGACCGACUCCGAUCGCGAAGCUCCGGCCGAGGUCCCCCUUCCGCGUGCUUCCCUACCCUGGCUAAAGGCUUACACGCCUGAAAGCUUCGCCUAAAGGCUUACCCCGCGCGACUUUUGUCGCUUCUCCUCGGCUCACCGCCCAGGUGAGUGCACCCCAUUUUGGGAGUUCCUUAGGGUUGACCGAAAAUUUUUGAGAAGGGAUAGGUGCUGCCAAAAAAAAUCUGAGUUCUUUAUUAGUUGUGGCAUUUUCUGUGGAAUCCCUGGAGCUCUCUCUCUGGCCUAGAGAUUCUUAUGCUUGAUUUUCUUACUCAUCAGGAGGGGAUUCCAUUUUCAAUAAUACUUUGAGAGGCAUAUACUACUAAAUAUGACAUGGUUCCUCCUCAGAACCUUUCUGGAAUGCAAAGGCAGGUCUUGGCUCUAUACCGCCACUUUCUACGGGCGGCCCGAUCAAAGAAUCUCGACGAGCGAAAAAUGAUUAUCUCUGUUGUCUCCACGGAGUUCCGCCAUAGUGCCGAUCAUGUUGAUCGAAAAAGCUUCCAACACAUCGAAUAUCUCUUGCGGCGCGGGAGGAGGCAGCUCGAGCAGCUAAAGAGCUCCACCACCAUUUCUCUGUCGACAAUCAAUCUGAAUUCUUCCACUUCCAAGACGGUCCAUGAAGACAAGAAGCUUGCUUAAGACAGAGAUGUUAAACCGAUAUUUGGUCUAGUGGGCACCACUAUCGAUUCCUGCAAUGAGUUGAAAACCCAGAUGUGCUUGUAUUUGAUUCGAAAAGGCCACGUCACGGGAUUCGAACCCCUGACUCGACGCAUCAAUGAGCAUGGUCAUU